rnacentral:rRNA from 1 species
GUGGGGAAUCUUGCGCAAUGGGCGAAAGCCUGACGCAGCCAUGCCGCGUGGAUGAUGAAGGUCUUAGGAUUGUAAAAUCCUUUCACCGGUGAAGAUAAUGACUGUAGCCGGAGAAGAAGCCCCGGCUAACUUCGUGCCAGCAGCCGCGGUAAUACGAAGGGGGCUAGCGUUGCUCGGAUUUACUGGGCGUAAAGGGCGCGUAGGCGGACAUUUAAGUCAGUGGUGAAAUCCCGGGGCUCAACCUCGGAACUGCCUUUGAUACUGGGUGUCUUGAGUAUGAGAGAGGUGUGUGGAACUCCGAGUGUAGAGGUGAAAUUCGUAGAUAUUCGGAAGAACACCAGUGGCGAAGGCGACACACUGGCUCAUUACUGACGCUGAGGCGCGAAAGCGUGGGGAGCAAACAGGAUUAGAUACCCGGGUAGUCC